rnacentral:rRNA from 1 species
UACGUAGGGGGCAAGCGUUGUCCGGAUUUAUUGGGCGUAAAGAGCGUGUAGGCGGUUUUACAGGUCCGCUGUGAAAACUCGAGGCUCAACCUCGAGCUGUCGGUGGAAAUCGUAAGGCUAGAGUCCGGAAGAGGAGAGUGGAAUUCCUGGUGUAGCGGUGAAAUGCGCAGAUAUCAGGAAGAACACCCGUGGCGAAGGCGGCUCUCUGGGACGGUACUGACGCUGAGACGCGAAAGCGUGGGGAGCGAACAGG